rnacentral:lncRNA from 1 species
CCAUCAACCAUCAACAUGCACACCCCCCAUCAUUCCAUCCAUCACCACCACCACCACCACCACCACCUCCAUCAUUGUCAUCAUCAUGGUCCGUCAUGGCCAUGUCAUGCGGUCCUCAUGUGGGUCAUGGAGGUCACGAUGCCCUCCUCACUCCCCCUUAACACUCAUGCGUUUGAUUAAGAGAGGAGCCUGUAUUAUACAAUGCCACUGCAUGUCAUGCACAUGACUAUGGCAUCAGGAAUUUCCCUUUUUAUCAG